rnacentral:tRNA from 1 species
ACUCCAAUGUUGGAAUGGGCAGACAAGGUAGUUUCAAAAACUACUGCUGAAAGGCGUGUGGGUUCAAAUCCCACUUGGAGUACCA